UACAACUGUUCUGGGACUCUGGGUGA
rnacentral:piRNA from 1 species